rnacentral:rRNA from 1 species
CCUACGGGGGGCAGCAGUGAGGAAUAUUGGUCAAUGGGCGGAAGCCUGAACCAGCCAAGUCGCGUGAGGGAUUAAGGCCCUGCGGGUCGUAAACCUCUUUUGCCGGGGAGCAGAGGUCCGGACGUGUCCGGGCCGGGAGAGUACCCGGAGAAAAAGCAUCGGCUAACUCCUUGCCAGCAGCCGCGGUAAUACGGAGGAUGCGAGCGUUAUCCGGAUUUAUUGGGUUUAAAGGGUGCGUAGGCGGGCAUUUAAGCCGGCGGUCAAAUGUCGGGGCUCAACCCCGGCCUGCCGUCGGAACUGGGUGCCUUGAGUGGGCGAGAAGUAGGCGGAAUGCGUGGUGUAGCGGUGAAAUGCAUAGAUAUCACGCAGAACCCCGAUUGCGAAGGCAGCAUACCGGAGCCCGACUGACGCUGAGGCACGAAAGUGCGGGUAUCGAACAGGAUUAGAUACCCUAGUAGUC